GGUUGCUUUCAUACGUUUUGCAGCAGCCCGGGUUGAAUCCAGAUAGGCUCUAUGAUGUGCACGGGGUAUCACAAGGCUAAUAAUGAUAGCUAACCGAUUCCUCAGGAUGCGUCUGCCAGAGGUCUGGGUAUGAGGCAGCCCUGCCAAUCACAGAGGAGUCAAACCCACUGACCCAGGACCUCGACAAAGCAGAUGCCGAGGAAAUUGUUCCAUUGCUGGGACAAUGUGAUGCUGAGAUCUUCCAGGAGGAGCGGCAAGUCAUGCCCACAGACUAGGAACCUGAGGGGGAGCUGGUGGUGCUGAGUGGAGGGGGCAGCUCUGGCAGGAUGGCGUUUCUCAUGUCUGUCUCCUUCAACCAGCUUUGAAAGGUCUAGGACAGAAACCUCUACACCUACCUCAUUGCAAGCAGUGACAGGUCUGUGGUGGCAUCUAGGGAGGGGACAGAAGAUAGUGCCCUGCACGGGAUUGAAGAACUGAAGAAGGUCUGUGUUUUCCCCUGAUAGUCAACCAGACGUCUCUGUCUGUUCCUUCUCACGAGGACACUGAAGUCCCCAUCCAGCCAAAGCCCGUUCUCUUCCGCAGUCCUGACCCUGACAUCUCCAUGCAAUAGGCUCACUUUGUGGCAGGCCAGGUGGACUCCGGCAUGGACAGCCCAGGCACCUUCUUACCAGUUCUGGUUGGUUUCAGCCCCGUGAACAUGGCCAGGUGAGCCCACUGUAAUGAAAGGCAGUGACGGGCCAGGCCCCUGAGGGAGGCUGAGAGGAAACCUGUCAAAAUCUACAGUACAGGGGCGAGUGGGUGGCUCGCUCAGUGGGUUAAAGCCUCUGCCUUUGGCUCAGGUCAUGAUCCCAGGGUCCUGGGAUCAAGCCCCGCAUCGGGCUCUCUGCUCUGCAGAGAGCCUGCUUCCCCUCUCUCUACCUGCCUCUCUGCCUGCUUGUGAUCUCUGUCUGCCAAAUAAAAAAAUAAAAAUCUUUAAAACAAAACAAAACAAACAAACAAAACCAAAAUCUACAUUACAGCCACGAAGAGGAGGGCAUGGUGGCUAUGGUCUUGCUCACCACAUCUCAGAA